UACGUAGGGCGCAAGCGUUGUCCGGAAUUAUUGGGCGUAAAGAGCUCGUAGGCGGUUUGUUGCGUCGGCUGUGAAAUCCCGAGGCUCAACCUCGGGUCUGCAGUCGAUACGAGCAAACUAGAGUGUUGCAGGGGAGACUGGAAUUCCUGGUGUAGCGGUGAAAUGCGCAGAUAUCAGGAGGAACACCGGUGGCGAAGGCGGGUCUCUGGGCAACAACUGACGCUGGAGGAGCGAAAGCCGUUGGGGAGCGAACAGG
rnacentral:rRNA from 1 species